GUGCUCGCUUUGGCAACACAUAUGCUAAAAUUGGAAUGAAACCCGGAAGACAGCAUGACCCCUACACAAGGAUGACAUGCAAGUUCGUGAAGCAGUCCAUGUUUUU
ensembl:snRNA U6 U6 spliceosomal RNA